rnacentral:lncRNA from 1 species
GUAAUAAUAAUCCACACAACAAUGUCUGUAGUGUCAUAUCAUUCAUUCAUUCGUUUUCCUAAGGUAAGGGAAUAUUAUAAACUCAUAUAAACAUGGGAAUUAUAGAACUCAAUCAUGCAAUUAUUUUAGGACAGGAAAAAUAUAUAAUGCCGCGUCUUUCCUUGCACCUUUUGGAGCAAAGAAACUAAUGAUUUCUUUGAUUUCCCUAAAUCUUAUAUCAGAAACAAUCACCUAAAAUGAAUUCUUUCUCUUUCUGUACCUUUAUCUUCCUAUUUAUGUUUAUUUCUAUCUCAUAUGUUGUUUAUAUAUACUAAUUUACGUCGACUAUAUUUGCUGCACAUUUAUUUGUCUUCUUUACAAGUUUGAUGUGAUCACAUUUAUAUAUCAAUGAUUCAAUGUUAAGUAUUUGACAGUAAGGAUGAAGAACAUAUGUAACAAGACAGUAGAGCUUAUAUGCAUUGAUGACGAUGACGAUGACGAUGACGAUGACGAUGACGAUGACGAUGACGAUGACGAUGACGAUGACGAUGACGAUGACGAUGACGAUGACGAUGACGAUGACGAUGACGAUGACGAUGACGAUGACGAUGACGAUGACGAUGACGAUGACGAUGACGAUGACGAUGACGAUGACGAUUGUAUAAUACUUGAGACUGACCCAUUAGAGGACACAAAUGCAUACACUGUUAGCAAUCGCUAUGUUCAUCAAGAUUUGGUGAUCGAAGAUGAGGUAACCAUAAUUGCAGAACGAGGUCAGGU